UGCCAGCCGCCGCGGUAAUACGGAGGGUGCAAACGUUGUUCGGAAUCACUGGGCAUAAAGGGCUCGUAGGCGGUUCAUUAAGUCAGAUGUGAAAUCCCUCGGCUCAACCGGGGAACUGCAUUUGAUACUGGUGAACUAGAGUAUGGUUGGGGUGAGUGGAACUCCUGGUGGAGCGGUGAAAUGCGUAGAUAUCAGGAGGAACACCGGUGGCGAAAGCGACUCACUGGACCAUUACUGACGCUGAGGAGCGAAAGCUAGGGGAGCGAACGGGAUUAGAUA
rnacentral:rRNA from 1 species